rnacentral:rRNA from 1 species
AACGAACGCUGGCGGCAGGCCUAACACAUGCAAGUCGAACGCCCCGCAAGGGGAGUGGCAGACGGGUGAGUAACGCGUGGGAACGUACCCUUCGGUUCGGGAUAACUCAGGGAAACUUGAGCUAAUACCGGAUACGUCCGAGAGGAGAAAGAUUUAUCGCCGAGGGAUCGGCCCGCGUCUGAUUAGCUUGUUGGUGAGGUAACGGCUCACCAAGGCGACGAUCAGUAGCUGGUCUGAGAGGAUGAUCAGCCACAUUGGGACUGAGACACGGCCAAACUCCUACGGGAGGCAGCAGUGGGGAAUAUUGGACAAUGGGCGGCAAGCCUGAUCCAGCCAUGCCGCGUGAGUGAUGAAGGCCCUAGGGUUGUAAAGCUCUUUUACCCGGGAAGAUAAUGACUGUACCGGGAGAAUAAGCCCCGGCUAACUUCGUGCCAGCAGCCGCCGUAAC